rnacentral:lncRNA from 1 species
GAGCCGAGAGCCUGAUGUGGGGCUCGAUCCCAGGACCUGAUCCAAAGGCAGAGGCUUAACCCACUGAGCCACCCAGCCACCCCCGUUAUAAUCCAUUUUAGAGAUGAGGGAAUGGAGGCUCAAAGUCACACAGAUUUUAAGUAGUAGAGGCAGGAUUUGAAUUCAGAUAUUCCUGAUUCUAAGGUCUGUGCUUUUUCAAUUGCAUUGAAAAAAGAAACACAGUAUCAAAUGGUUAGUAGCAGUUAUCUCCAAGAGGCCGCCUCAUAGUUCUGUCUUUCCCCCUUGGAGGUUGUUGUGGGAAGAGAGAGGAUAGGGGAAAGAAUGGGCAGGACUUCCCAUCUGAUGAGGCCUGGGUGAUAAAUCAAAUCAAGAAUCAAAGAUGGCUGCACAUGUGGGCGCUCCUUCCAGCCAGGGGGCCGGGGAGGGGG